rnacentral:rRNA from 1 species
UACGUAGGGUGCAAGCGUUAAUCGGAAUUACUGGGCGUAAAGCGUGCGCAGGCGGUUGUGUAAGACCGAUGUGAAAUCCCCGGGCUUAACCUGGGAACUGCAUUUGUGACUGCACGGCUGGAGUGCGGCAGAGGGGGAUGGAAUUCCGCGUGUAGCAGUGAAAUGCGUAGGUAUGCGGAGGAACACCGAUGGCGAAGGCAAUCCCCUGGGCCUGCACUGACGCUCAUGCACGAAAGCGUGGGGAGCAAACAGG